UAAAGGGAAGAAUAGAUAUUAAAGCUGCUGGAUAAAAGUUAGGGACCUCCCUAUGUGGUAGACCUUUAGAAUAUCCUGGCUGUUCUUGAAAAAAUAGAACAGGACUAUUUUUAAAUUACAGCCUCAAACAUUUUAUGUUCUAGACUUACAGCACAAUAGAGAAAAUUUGGAGGAUCCUUACUAUGAAACCCAGAGAAAAAAAUUUAUAUACAACGAUGAGACAUUAAAACUGAAGAUUAGAAUAGGGAAAAGAGGUAACUCAGCCUGUAAAAUAAGUUCUGGUUUCUAGGCCACAACAACUUUAGAAACCUUCCCAACAUUUUGAAGUCAUCAUAAAACAUGGUGUGAUGUGAUACCAUAUGUGAAAUUUUCUACUCCUUCCCUCCAGGAGUGAUAAUAAAGUCAAAGAAAUAGAUGGUACUUUUGGACAAAGUAAUUUCCAAAAAUGGGGGCUUAGAUUCUACCACAGGCAAAAUCUAAUCUAGAAGAGAAGAUAUAGUAGUAAUGACCCAAAAGUUACUAAAGCAUUUGUUUACUCCAUUACCACAAUGAUUAUAUCAUGGAACAAUUAUAACCUUUAAUGGAAACCAAAGA